CGGAGGGUGCAAGCGUUGUCCGGAUUUAUUGGGUUUAAAGGGUGCGUAGGCGGCCUUAUAAGUCAGUGGUGAAAGCCCACAGCUCAACUGUGGAACUGCCAUUGAUACUGUAAGGCUUGAGUACAGACGAGGUAGGCGGAAUUGAUGGUGUAGCGGUGAAAUGCAUAGAUACCAUCAAGAACACCGAUUGCGAAGGCAGCUUACUAGGCUGUAACUGACGCUGAGGCACGAAAGCGUGGGGAGCGAACAGGAUUAGAUACCCUGGUAGUCCACGCUGUAAACGAUGAUUACUCGAUGUUGGCGAUACACAGCCAGCGUCUUAGCGAAAGCGUUAAGUAAUCCACCUGGGGAGUACGCCCGCAAGGGUG
rnacentral:rRNA from 1 species